rnacentral:rRNA from 1 species
UAGGGAAUCUUCGGCAAUGGACGAAAGUCUGACCGAGCAACGCCGCGUGAGUGAAGAAGGUUUUCGGAUCGUAAAACUCUGUUGUUAGAGAAGAACAAGGACGUUAGUAACUGAACGUCCCCUGACGGUAUCUAACCAGAAAGCCACGGCUAACUACGUGCCAGCAGCCGCGGUAAUACGUAGGUGGCAAGCGUUGUCCGGAUUUAUUGGGCGUAAAGCGCACGCAGGCGGUCUGUCAAGUCGGAUGUGAAAUCCCCGGGCUCAACCUGGGAACUGCAUUCGAAACUGGCAGGCUAGAGUCUUGUAGAGGGGGGUAGAAUUCCAGGUGUAGCGAUGAAAUGCGUAGAGAUCUGGAGGAAUACCGGUGGCGAAGGCGGCCCCCUGGACAAAGACUGACGCUCAGGUGCGAAAGCGUGGGGAGCAAACAGG